GGGCCGCGGUAUAUUGACCGUGCGAAGGUAGCAUAAUCAUUAGUCUUUUAAUUGAAGGCUUGUAUGAAUGGUUGGACAAAAAGCGGACUGUCUCAAUUGCAAUUCAUUGAAUUUAACUUUUAAGUGAAAAGGCUUAAAUAAAUUAAGGGGACGAUAAGACCCUAUAAAGCUUUACAAUAAAUUACUUAUAUUAUAAACUGUUAGUAUAACUUGAUUUUAGGUAAUAUUUGUUGCGUUGGGGCGACGAGAAUAUAAUGAGUAACUGUUCUUAAGUUAAUUAAUAACAUAAAUAUAUGGAAGAUGAAUGAUCCUCUUUUAGAGAUCAUAAGAUUAAGUUACUUUAGGGAUAACAGCGUAAUGUUCUUUGAGAGUCCAUAUCGACAAGAAGGAUUGCGACCUCGAUGUUGAAUUAAGGGUUCCUUAUAAUGCAGCAGUUAUAAAGG
rnacentral:rRNA from 1 species